GCUCCCCACAGGCGGGCGCCUGGGCGAUGCGGGGCUGCGGCGGGCUGCGCCGGGCCGUCUGGGCCGUGCUGGCCCCGCGCGGCCGCGGCAGCUGCAGGGGCCCUGCGGGGAGCACCCGCUGUCGCCCGCGGCUGGGGGCAGCGCCCGAUUUGAAGAGCAUAAAUGUGAUCUUUUAUAACCUUUCCACUACUGCUGAUCACAGUGUCUCCUACAAAGAACUCAAAGACCUCCUAAAAUCCCAAACCAUUCAUAUUGAUGUCCGAGAGAAAUGGGAAAUUGGCAAGUUUGGAAAAAUCCCUGGGUCCAUCAAUAUACCAUUGGGUGAAGUUGUGGAAGCUCUACGGAUGAACCCAGAAGACUUCAAAGAGCAGUACAAUCAAGAUAUGCCUGCUAAAUUGGACCACAUAGUCUUCUCCUGCAUGGCAGGAGUGAGAAGCAAGAGAGCAUUGGAUAUUGCCAUGUCUUUGGGUUUCAGCAGGGGGAACCAUGUCUUCUUUGGAUUCUCUUCCAUUUAUGUGCACUGAGAGGGAUUAUGGAUUUUAUACCUGUGUCCUCAACCAUUGUUGAGUGAUGAGAGUACAUGAAAAUGCAUACCUGAGGACCUCUGUCCUGAGAGACCUGAACCAGGAGCCACUGCUGAAGCUGCACAGAGCUGCUGAGCAUAUGCAGAUACAAAGGGACAGCCAUGGCGGCCAAGGCAGCCCAGCAGCUGCAGUCCGUGAAGAAGCUCGGUGAGGAAGCCCAUGGAGGGAGGGAAGAAGGGAGGGUCGCGCCGCAACCCAGCCCUGUGAAAGCAGAUGGCAGCGUCUGCCCGGGGCAGGGACGGGGAGCGAGCGGCCAGGGCUUGUCGCCGGGGUGGGCGCGGGGCUGCGGCCCGGAGCAGCGGCUGGAGGCCGAGAUGCCCCUUCCCUCGGAGGGCGGCCGCACAGGGUGAGUCGUCCCAGCGGGUCUGCCUCUUAACCUCACUUUGCAGGCGCGGCAGGAGCCCCGGCUUGCUUCACAUGGCCACGUGUGUGUGGGUGUGUGAGAGUGGGUGGGUGUGAGUGUGUGUGUGCGGGGGGGGGGGGUGCGGGCGCGCAGGCUUCUGUCAAAACAAGGCACUGAACAUGUGAUGGACCAGAUCUACAGUGCUGCUGCGUGUGUCCAUGUCUCCUGCUCAGUCCCAGACCUGGCUGCUGCUCUGAGGGACAUGCAGAUAGAGGAUGAAGGAAUUGCAGCCAAGAACCUGCAGGCACGGAGGAGUGGUACAAAACCAGAUUUCUUGAGCUUAGUCAAGCUUCCGCAGAACAUGCCGAGAAUGUGAGACAUUUCAGGGAAGAAAUAGGCAACUGCAAAAGAAGUGUAAGUGGAUUUGAAAACCCCUUCCAGCUCAUGUGAUGUCACUUCUAAUGGAGCCCUUUGUUAUGAUUUCACUAAAUUAGGUAAUGUGACAGUCGUCUGAGUUUUUUCCCCUAGUAAUGGUGGUCUUUUAGGCUAUAUUUUGCAGGGAGGGAGGUGGAUUGGAGGAAUGGUGACUCCAUAUAUGACCCCCUGUCAAAGUGCUAGUGAGCGCUCAUGAAUAAUACUUUUAUAUACGAAAUAAAACUUCGGCAGCUGAUUAAGUCCCAGGUCCGGAUAUACUGGUUAGAUCGAUGCAGAUCUUUCGGAGGGAGGGAGGGGGAAGAAGAACCAUGGCUUUAGGGAGAAAUUAGUUUGCAAUAGAACAGUCCUUCCUUCCUUUGCCUUAAUCUGGACGUAGUGUGGAAUGUAAUACAGAGUUUGGGGUCCUAUCGUUGGGCUAUAAAAGAACACUGUGAAGUAGUGACCACUAUUGAUCACUUACACUUCAGUUUACAAUAUACGGAUAGAUACUAUAAGGUAAAUGCGGGAGACUGAGGUGUUACUGCAAGUCGUAAUCUUACUCAUUGCUCCUCUUCUCUGAGGAUCCAGAUGAGAUAUUUUUAGACCGAAAAGUCCCCUCCCCAACCCGCACUUAGAAAUCAAUUAAAAAAAAAAAGGAAAGAUGGGCAAAAUUCCACCACAGUAGCUUCUCAGGAUUGUCGUUUCUGGGUCAGAGAUGCUCUUGCAAUUAACCCCACCUUCUCUCAUUAAGGCGUCUGCGGCUGAAACGUGUAUGCAGCACCUAGUUUCACAUCAAUUUAGGCUGUCUCAGGCUGUACGUGCGCCGGCCGGAGAGGAGCAUACUGCCUUUUUCCUGCGGCAGAGCUUGCACCUCGGGGAGCGGGGCCGGAUCCGGUAGGGCGGACAGGCGGGAGUCAGUGCAACGCAGCGCCUUCAUACUGAGCCUCAGCCUCUUAUUAGAUGCAACUUGUGUCCAAACACGGAGUAGGCCCUGGCUUGCCAUGCGUUAGGAUGUGUUGCACUGGGAUGCAGCAUCGUUACUCCUGACGCUGCGAUGGAAACUUCUCUCGUGCAUGCCUCAAACCAUCUCGGCAAAAAUAAAGACAGGAUUCCCGGGCGGAGGGGCUGGUGGGGAAAGGGAGAGCUUGGCUCUGCUGAAGUCAAGGGGAGCUUGUCCAUGACAUUCAGGAGGGUGGGGUGGAGGGGGGCAGGCUUUGUCCCUUAGAGUAAGCAGAUCGGUGAUUUUCUUGUCCCUUCUGUUUUUCUGAUACUGCAGAAACGGGGCCUGACGCCCUUCCAAACAGGCAUGCAGCACGCGUGGCUCAGCUCGAGGAAACCCAAGAGGAAUACAAGGGAGACACCGAAGGAUCACAGGUCAUCUUCAUCUUGUGAGGUUUCCCCAUCUCUUUGCGACUUCUGGACUAGACCAGUAUUAAACUGUAGGGAAAGAGGUCCCUACUUUGGCAAAAACAGUCGCUAGACACAGCAGCGACCUCUAAGCUCCUCAUUUAACUUGCGAGGGUGGACAAUUUCUUUCCUUCCUGCUUCAUCUUUUGCCAGGGUCUCCCCGUAGUUAGCAAUGUGUGUCUGCAGCCUGGCACGGGGUGGGAGGGGGCUGCCCCGUGGGAUCUGAUCCAAGGUACUCACCUUUGCAACCGGUUGCGGAUCUCUCCAAGUGAAAAUCAAUGCACUGCAAGAGAAAGUGCAAACAAGAGCACUGCCCUCCAUCUGCGGGCAUACCAACGAGGAGGUGGCUGUGGACACUAAGAUGGCCACGAACAAGUGAUGGGGCACAGAAAGAAGCGGUUUUAUAUAAGAUCCAUCCUCUUCCCCCACUCCCCACGUUGUGUUUCCGUUAGCUGUCGGUACUCUCUGGGCUGUAGGAAGCUGCUGUGAAAGGGGUGGGGGGGGGAGGUGGAGGGGGCUGUUCCAUGCAGGCCCAAGCAGCUCAGCACCAUUGAAAGCAUUUCCCAAGAGCAGGCUGUGGACACCACCCAGAGCACAACUGUGCUUAUCAGGUAAGGAGGCACUGCCAUGGGGACAGGGAAACGACAACAUCUCCUGACACUACCGGGGAUUCACAGCCGAGAGCAAUGUGGGGGGAGAUAAGCAUGUUGAUGCCCAUCUUGCUGGGGUCACCUGACCCCAGCGGUCUUUCCUGCCCAAGUGCAGGGGGGCUGGACCGGAUGAUCUGUAAGGUAGGUCCCUUCCUGCCCCUAAAUCUAUGAAACUAUGAAAUCAAUCAAUAGUCCACCGUGGGCCCGAUGUUAUAGAGUCCCCCGGAGGAAUCCAGUAGAUCCUGCACUGCAUUGGCUUGGAAGGGCUCCUGGUCCUGCAGCCCCAGCUGAGUUUGCAUCUCUGCUGCUGCCCGACCCAGACGAGACUGUGUCUGCACAGGACGGGCGGUAGCUGCACUUGGGUGUGUGUGUGUGUGUGUGUGUGUGUCCCAACGUUUGUCAUUCAACACGAAUAGUAUUUUCUCCUUUGAAUAGAUAACGCCCAAGUCCAGGAAGGCCCCUGGGAGAAGAUGCUGAGGCACAUCGCGGCGGCUGCUACUGAGAGCCGGGGGAAGGCAUCAAGACGGUCACUUGCUUGGCACGAUCUCCCAGGUGCUGGCCACAUGCUGCCAUCCUCCCAACUUCUGCGCCUUCAGCCAAACCUCAUUUCCCAGCCACGCCUGGUUUUCAGACCGGUUCUGUCGCUUUUGUUACAUUAAAUACAAUUACGAGCACACA